rnacentral:rRNA from 1 species
CGGCGAGUGAAGCGGCAAAAGCUCAAAUUUGAAAUCCCCCCGGGGAGUUGUAAUUUGAAGAUUGCGUCUUGGAGGCGACCGUGUCUAUGUUCCUUGGAACAGGACGUCACAGAGGGUGAGAAUCCCGUGCGGCACGGCCCCCGGCUCCUUAUAAGGCGCUCUCGACGAGUCGAGUUGUUUGGGAAUGCAGCUCAAAGUGGGUGGUAAAUUCCAUCUAAAGCUAAAUACAGGCGAGAGACCGAUAGCGAACAAGUACAGUGAUGGAAAGAUGAAAAGCACUUUGAAAAGAGAGUGAAACAGCACGUGAAAUUGUUGAAAGGGAAGGGCAUGCCGUCAGAUUGUCAGUGUGGGUAAGAAGCGGGGUACAAAGACUGUGGAACGUGGCCCUCGGGUGUUAUAGCCGCAGUUCAUGCCCCGUCUCUUUCCGAGGCCUGCUUUGAGGACACCGACGUAAUGACGGUACGCCGCCC